UACGAAGGGUGCAAGCGUUAAUCGGAAUUACUGGGCGUAAAGGGUGCGUAGGCGGUUCGUUAAGUCUGUCGUGAAAUCCCCGGGCUCAACCUGGGAAUGGCGAUGGAUACUGGCGAGCUAGAGUGUGCCAGAGGAUGGUGGAAUUCCCGGUGUAGCGGUGAAAUGCGUAGAGAUCGGGAGGAACAUCAGUGGCGAAGGCGGCCAUCUGGGACAACACUGACGCUCAUGCACGAAAGCGUGGGGAGCAAACAGG
rnacentral:rRNA from 1 species